CAGCAGCCGCGGGAAUACGUAGGGUGCAAGCGUUAAUCGGAAUUACUGGGCGUAAAGAGCUCGUAGGCGGUCUGUCGCGUCUGGUGUGAAAUCCCGAGGCUCAACCUCGGGCUUGCAUCGGGUACGGGCAGACUAGAGUGCGGUAGGGGAGACUGGAAUUCCUGGUGUAGCGGUGGAAUGCGCAGAUAUCAGGAGGAACACCGAUGGCGAAGGCAGGUCUCUGGGCCGCAACUGACGCUGAGGAGCGAAAGCAUGGGGAGCGAACAGGAUUAGAUACCCCCGUAGUCCCUGUCUCUUAUAC
rnacentral:rRNA from 1 species